AUGAAUACAGAACCACCACCUACAACUACUUCAUCCAUGUUGAUUAAUAGAGUGAAGGUAUUCCUUAAAGCACUAAGCUGGAUCAUGUUUUUUGUUUCUGGAAGCUCUUUAUGACCACAUGACAGAGGUAAGUGUAGGGGCACACUUUUCUGGAAAGCAG
rnacentral:lncRNA from 1 species